rnacentral:rRNA from 1 species
GACGAACGCUGGCGGCGUGCUUAACACAUGCAAGUCGAACGGAAAGGCCCUGCUUUUGUGGGGUGCUCGAGUGGCGAACGGGUGAGUAACACGUGAGUAACCUGCCCUUGACUUUGGGAUAACUUCAGGAAACUGGGGCUAAUACCGGAUAGGAGCUCCUGCUGCAUGGGGGGGGUUGGAAAGUUUCGGCGGUUGGGGAUGGACUCGCGGGUUAUCAGCUUGUUGGGGGGGUAGUGGCUUACCAAGGCUUUGACGGGUAGCCGGCCUGGGAGGGUGGCCGGCCACCUUGGGACUGCGAUACGGCCCAGACUGCUACGGGAGGCAGCAGGGGGGAAUAUUGCACAAUGGGCGGAAGCCUGAUGCAGCAACGCCGCGUGCGGGAUGACGGGCUUCGGGUUGUAAACCGCUUUCGCCUGUGCCGAAGCGUGCGUGACGGUAAUGGGUAAAGAAGCACCGGCUAACUACGUG